rnacentral:rRNA from 1 species
GUUAAGCGACUAAGCGUACACGGUGGAUGCCCUGGCAGUCAGAGGCGAUGAAGGACGUGCUAAUCUGCGAUAAGCGUCGGUAAGGUGAUAUGAACCGUUAUAACCGGCGAUUUCCGAAUGGGGAAACCCAGUGUGUUUCGACACACUAUCAUUAACUGAAUCCAUAGGUUAAUGAGGCGAACCGGGGGAACUGAAACAUCUAAGUACCCCGAGGAAAAGAAAUCAACCGAGAUUCCCCCAGUAGCGGCGAGCGAACGGGGAGGAGCCCAGAGCCUGAAUCAGUGUGUGUGUUAGUGGAAGCGUCUGGAAAGGCGCGCGAUACAGGGUGACAGCCCCGUACACAAAAAUGCACAUA